UAGGGAAUCUUCGGCAAUGGGGGGAACCCUGACCGAGCAACGCCGCGUGAGUGAAGAAGGUUUUCGGAUCGUAAAGCUCUGUUGUUAAGGAAGAACGAGUGUGAGAAUGGAAAGUUCAUGCUGUGACGGUACUUAACCAGAAAGGGACGGCUAACUACGUGCCAGCAGCCGCGGUAAUACGUAGGUCCCGAGCGUUGUCCGGAUUUAUUGGGCGUAAAGCGAGCGCAGGCGGUUAGAAAAGUCUGAAGUGAAGGGCAGUGGCUCAACCAUUGUAGGCUUUGGAAACUGUUUAACUUGAGUGCAGAAGGGGAGAGUGGAAUUCCAUGUGUAGCGGUGAAAUGCGUAGAUAUAUGGAGGAACACCGGUGGCGAAAGCGGCUCUCUGGUCUGUAACUGACGCUGAGGCUCGAAAGCGUGGGGAGCGAACAGG
rnacentral:rRNA from 1 species